CCUACGGGCGGCUGCAGUGGGGAAUUUUGGACAAUGGGGGCAACCCUGAUCCAGCCAUGCCGCGUGAGUGAAGAAGGCCUUCGGGUUGUAAAGCUCUUUCGGCCGGGAAGAAAUCGUGCGGGCUAAUACCCUGUAUGGAUGACGGUACCGGAAGAAGAAGCACCGGCUAACUACGUGCCAGCAGCCGCGGUAAUACGUAGGGUGCGAGCGGGGAUCGGAAUUACUGGGCGCAGUGCGUGAGGAGGCGGGUGAAGUCCCCGGGCUUAACCUGGGAACUGCGUUUGUGACUGCGAGACUUGAGUGCGGCAGAGGGGGGUGGAAUUCCACGUGUAGCAGUGAAAUGCGUAGAGAUGUGGAGGAACACCGAUGGCGAAGGCAGCCCCCUGGGUCGACACUGACGCUCAUGCACGAAAGCGUGGGGAGCAAACAGGAUUAGAUACCCUGGUAGUC
rnacentral:rRNA from 1 species